GCCGUCUGCGCGCCGGUCUCCUUCCUGGAGUGCGGCUCCGACGAGCUGUCUGUGGGCCGCGCGGGUUACCUGUGUGCCGCGCUGGUGCUCAAGCAGAAACUCGUCCAGGAGUUUUCUUCACAGGAAAAAAGCCAAUUCAGUAUUAAAAUGCUAGCCAAGAUUGAGGGCGAGUACACAGAAGUCGUCUGCACAUUCAAAGAAGCAAGACAAGCUUUUGAAAAUAACAAAAAAAUCUAUGGAGAAGUGAACCCAGAGAAUUUGCACUGACACCCAUGGACGGAAGGAACAUGGAUGAAGCUGGAGGCUAUUUUCCUUAGCAAACUACCACAGAAACAUAAAACCAAACACCACAUGCUUUCAUUUAUAAGUGGGAGCUAAAUGAUGGGAACUUAUGAACACGAAGGGAACAGCAGACACUGGGGUCUACUUGAGGGUGGAUGGUGGGAGAAUGGUGAGGAGCAGAAUAGAUAACUAUUGGAUACUGG
rnacentral:lncRNA from 1 species